CAGAGUACCGGUGCCCUCUGGGCGCCUACUCCAACCCUUUGUCUACCACAAUCGUUGCUUUGGCGGGCCGGGUGCCCGCGCACCGCCGGCCCCGGCUGGAGAGCGCCCGCCAGAGGAUACACAAACACUGCUCACGGUGUCAUCUGAGUAAAAAAACAAAUGAAUCAAAACUUUCAACAACGGAUCUCUUGGUUCUUCAUCGAUGCGAGAGCCAAGAGAUCCGUUGUUAAAAGUUUUGUUUAAUUAAGAUACUCUUACGUUCGUUAAUUAAACA
rnacentral:misc_RNA from 1 species